CACAGAGUGCAAGGGCAUUACGCAUAUCAGUGAGGAUUCGUCCGAGAUUGCGUUUUUGCUAGUUGAAAACUAUCAACUGACUGCUCGUAUUGGUCUUCGGAUCGGUACGGAAUUUUUGGCCAAACACAUA
rfam:Sphaerulina musiva SO2202 unplaced genomic scaffold SEPMTscaffold_1, whole genome shotgun sequence.